CCAUAGCACCAUACCCUUGGACUUCCCAGGCUCCAGAAUCAUGAGCCAAAUACAUUCUUAUUUAUCAAUGACCCAGUCUGUGCUGCUUCUAUAACUGCAGCACAAAAUGGACCAAGCCAGACUCUUUAGUGCUUUCUUAUUGACCUGUGUACUCUAAGACACCGGUUCCUUUAGAUGAGUGUGCUUUGAGAGUGUCCCUCACCGGCAGGGUGACCUCAUGACGUCAGUGAUGCUUUUGCUGCUGCCUGUUUUGGUGUCGCCAUCAUAGUGGAGCCUGGGGGAGAGGCAGAGGCUCUGGAGCCAUUCUGGAUUCUGCCUCAGGCUGGUGACUGGUUAAUUUCUGUGAACUUUAACCUCCUCAUUGGUCAGGUUCCCUAGGAGUAAUACGAGGGGAAAAGGAUGCCAAUUUCCAUGAAUCGCCAUUUUCCAAGGUGCCGUGCUUGACACUUCACCAACGGUUGCUUCUCCCAAGGCCUUGAGGAAAGUAACAGUCGUACCUUCAGGUGCUGAGAAAUGUUAGCAGAACCAACCCAGCAGCCAGCGCAUGCCGUGUGUGAACGUCCCUCCGAUGUGCACAUUUCUACUCACGACAGAUUUAAACAAAGAAAGAAAAGAAACACACAGGUGAUGAAGCAAGUCGUGCUCACCCAGGCUAUGUGGCAGGGCUCGGGCCUGGGUUUGACCCACAUUCAAGCCAAGAGUGUCCGAUCCUGCUGCUGCGCCGUCUCCCUCUGUCGAGUCGAAGACCGUUUACAAUACCUGAGGAGGCCAGAGGCUUUUCCUCACUCGGGGCACUCACUUCUCAGGGCCACGUCUCAGCAGCCUCCUCAAUAGCAGACCCCAUGGGAUGCACUUAUCCCAUGGCCUUGUACCCACCAUUCUUCCGUCUGAAGGUCCUGGGUGUGAGUGACUGGUUGGCAGCUGGUGGGUGGGGUUUCCAAGUGGGUGACAGCGCUCUCUGGCAGCCAGGAACACCGUGUCCACACUGACCAGGCCUGUGGAGAGUGCUCAGCCUAACCUUAGAACACAUUUGUAACUGAACGCACUGUUUUCACUUUGUAUGGAAUAGUUAAAAUAUUCUAUGAAAGUUGUGAAACGUGAACCAAAAGAAAAAACCUGGUGAGGUUAUGAAGGCUCAACUGCACCAAAAUCCUGGCCUUGAAACCAAAAUCCUGGCACUGACUCGCUUAGCAAUGUUAUGGGGGCUCUGCAAAGCUGAGAAGCCGAGUCCCAUAUGAAGAUAAAAGGUUGCGCCUGGAUGGCUUGUGUGUGGCAGACGGGGAGGCUCCUCCUAGUCACGCCUGAACCUUCGGUCUGAACUGGAGCUCCACGGAGUGACGCUGCCCUGGAAUGCGGCAAACAUCCGCCUCCCUCCUGUGGCCGGUGCAUCCUCCAGCGUGUCCUCUGCUGGAAACGCACGUUAUCUCUAGAGCUGGCAGGUGCAGGACGCUGAGGGUUGAGUGUCUCCGGGAGCACGUCAGAUGUGAGAAUGAAAAGAGAGUCAGAGAUUGCCCUAGCCCUGCCUGGCAUGGAAAAUGUGGAGCGAAAUACAUCAGUGACUCCUGCCAGGUCUGUGGGAGAGCCAUGCCAGGCGUUUGCCAUGUUUGGUAACAACCAAGGAAGAGCGGCUGUGACAAAGUCAACACUUCUCCCUCGGGUCCCUGCCCAUCCCUUUCUGGAGUCAGUGACUAACAUUUCAGGGAGCACUGAGGUUGCCAGCUGAUCUCCCUUUACAUGGGGCCAUCCCCUUUUUGAAUGAGCUUAAAGCCAGGUACUUCACGCACUGCCAUGAUGUACAACCUGUUGCCAUGGGACCCCUUUCCAGUCUCGGGAGAGGACAGUCCAUGUGCCCGGAUUCUAGAACCACGCCUACCACACCAUUACAGGGAAGACGUCUCUACGAAUCUAGCCGUGCCUUUCAGACAGGGAUAAUGUGGCCCACAGAUACCACCAGGCUCUUGUGAAUACAAUCAUGAGGUCACAGUGUGCCCAAACAGACGUGUCUCAGACAAACCGGAACCUGGGAAAUGGCCACUGACAUGGAGUCAGGAGCAACUUGCUGUCAGGGUGCAGAUUGAUUCUAGAGUCUAUGUGAAGAAGAGAAGCCCAGAUAGAAACUGGGGAACAGGCCCAGGGGAAGGUGACCACGCGAGGAGAGCAGAGAAUCCAGGACGGUGGUCAGAGGCUGGAGCAGAGCUGGGGAGCAGGC
rnacentral:lncRNA from 1 species